GAUGAACGCUGGCGGCGUGCCUAAUACAUGCCAGUCGAGCGAACAGAUAAGGAGCUUGCUCCUUUGACGUUAGCGGCGGACGGGUGAGUAACACGUGGGUAACCUACCUAUAAGACUGGGAUAACUUCGGGAAACCGGAGCUAAUACCGGAUAACAUUUGGAACCGCAUGGUUCUAAAGUGAAAGAUGGUUUUGCUAUCACUUAUAGAUGGACCCGCGCCGUAUUAGCUAGUUGGUAAGGUAACGGCUUACCAAGGCGACGAUUCGUAGCCGAACUGAGAGGGGGAUCGGCCACCCUGGAACGGAGACACGGUCCAGGCUCCUACGAGAGGCCGCAGUAGGGAAUGUUCCGCAAUAGGCGAGAGCCUGACGGAGCAACGCCGCGUGAGUGAUGAAGGGGUUGCGCUCGUAAAACUCUGUUAUUAGGGAAGAACAAAUGUGUAAGUAACUGUGCACGUCUUGACGGUACCUAAUCAGAAAGCCACGGCUAACUACGUG
rnacentral:rRNA from 1 species